rnacentral:tRNA from 1 species
AAUCUUAAUAAAAAUUAAACUGCAAAUUUAAUUUAGAUUAUCUAAAUCUAAGAUUU